rnacentral:misc_RNA from 1 species
GUUUCCGUAGGUGAACCUGCGGAAGGAUCAUUGUCGAAACCUGCCCAGCAGAACGACCCGCGAACUUGUAUAAACAACUGGGGGCGGGGGGCGUUCUCGCCCCGUGCCCCCGAACGGCGGGGAGACACUCGUGCCUUCUUGCCGAACAACGAACCCCGGCGCGGUCUGCGCCAAGGAACUUCAACUAAAGAGUGCCUCCGGUCGCCUCGGAAACGGCGUGCGUGCCGGAGGCGAAUCUUGUGCAAAACCAUAACGACUCUCGGCAACGGAUAUCUCGGCUCUC